GAUUUCUGACUUGGCGCACCUGGCCCGCCACGGUUACGUGUGUGAGUGCUGGGAUGCGCCUGUCACUUUUCUGGUAAACCAUUGUGCUCUUCACUGAGUGUGAUGGGUAGCCAGAUAUUUUACUUUGAAAAAAUUAGAGUGUUUAAAGCAGGCGUUUGCUAUGAAUACAUUAGCAUGGAAUAAUAAGUUAGGACUUCGGUUCUAUUUUGUUGGUUUCUAGGACUGAAGUAAUGAUUGAUAGGGAUAGUUGGGGGUGCUAGUAUUCAGCGGCCAGAGGUGAAAUUCUCGGAUUCGCUGAAGACUAACUUAUGCGAAAGCAUU
rnacentral:rRNA from 1 species